rnacentral:rRNA from 1 species
GGAGGGGGCUAGCGUUGUUCAGAAUUACUGGGCGUAAAGGGCGCGUAGGCGGCCUGCCAAGUUAGGGGUGAAAGGCCCGGGCUCAACCCGGGAACUGCCCUUGAAACUGGCAAGCUAGAGUCCGAGAGAGGAUGGCGGAAUUCCCAGUGUAGAGGUGAAAUUCGUAGAUAUUGGGAAGAACACCGGUGGCGAAGGCGGCCAUCUGGCUCGGUACUGACGCUGAGGCGCGAAAGCGUGGGGAGCAAACAGGAUUAGAUACCCUGGUAGUCCACGCCGUAAACGAUGUGUGCUAGACGUUGGGGGUCUUAGGCCCUCCCGGUGUCGCAGCUAACGCGUUAAGCACACCGCCUGGGGAGUACGGCCGCAAGGUUA